rnacentral:lncRNA from 10 species
CAAAAACUCAAAGGUUACUAAGUGCUAAUAGAAAAUCUUCUGUGCUUAGCUUCACUGGAGUGUCAACACUUAAUACUAGUUAUGUAGAAUUACAACUUUAUAUUUAUUACAGUAAAUACACAGGCAUGUAAGGAAAAAUUCUAGAACAGUUUUUCUUAGUAUGGUAAAAAUUUUAAUCACCAUUUCACUUUUGAAGAUCAUUCUCUCUUGCACAGAGCACUAAAUUCAGUACGAGAUCUGCUAUGAUGUUUCUCUCUUAUAUGUAACCAAGAAAUUUCCCAUGCUGUCACUAAGAAUCAGGUAUUCCUCCUGCUUUCUGCUAAAGGACCUAAAAUUAUAUUGGAAAUAUCAUCAAAGGAUAAAUCAUACUGGAUCUUCUUUUGGUUACAUUUAUAGUUUCUGUCACCCACAAUUCCUG